CGCAUCUGUGCAUGCAGCAUAUCAAUAAGCGGAGGAAAAGAAACUAACAAGGAUUCCCCUAGUAACGGCGAGUGAAGCGGGAAGAGCUCAAAUUUGAAAUCUUAAAGGGUUUCCCUUUACGAAUUGUAGUUUAAAGAAGUGUUUUCUGUUGAGGUUUUGGUAAAAGUUCUUUGGAAUAGGACAUCAUAGAGGGGUGAGAAUCCCGUAUUUGACCUUUACUUUCAACUUUGUGAUACACUUUCAAAGAGUCGGAUUGUUUGGGAAUGCAGUCCAAAAUGGGUGGUAAAUUUCAUCUAAAGCUAAAUAUUGGCGAGAGACCGAUAGCGAACAAGUACCGUGAGGGAAAGAUGAAAAGAACUUUGAAAAGAGAGUUAAACAGUACGUGAAAUUGUCAAAGAGGGAAGCGUUUGACACCAGUGUUGUUUUUCUGAAAAUCAAUUAAAGAACUGUUUAUGCUAAGUUGUUUAGACUUUAUCAGCUAUCUGUUUAGUUUUGAGCUUUCCUUUAAUGCACUUUUCAGUUAACAAGUCAACAUCAAUUUCUUUUGCUGUAAAAAAGCUUGAGGAAGGUGGCUUGAGAUUCGUCUUAAGUGUUUAUAGCCUCUUGCCUAUGCAGUCGGAGAGAUUGAGGUCUGCAGCGUAGAUCCUUCGGGGCUAAAUGCAUUUGUGCUAAGUUAUAGCAUUUUAUAGACAACUUGUUGACUAUGAUUUGUCUUGUAGCUUACUCGCUUAUGUUAUUUUACCUACGCUUAGGAUGUUGAACGCGCACAGAGUCUC
rnacentral:rRNA from 1 species